rnacentral:rRNA from 1 species
CCUACGGGAGGCAGCAGUGGGGAAUAUUGGACAAUGGGCGAAAGCCUGAUCCAGCCAUGCCGCGUGUGUGAAGAAGGCCUUCGGGUUGUAAAGCACUUUCAGUGGGGAAGAAAGCCUUGGGGCUAAUACCCUCGAGGAAGGACAUCACCCACAGAAGAAGCACCGGCUAACUCCGUGCCAGCAGCCGCGGUAAUACGGAGGGUGCGAGCGUGAAUCGGAAUUACUGGGCGUAAAGCGCGCGUAGGCGGUCUGAUAAGCCGGUUGUGAAAGCCCCGGGCUCAACCUGGGAACGGCAUCCGGAACUGUCAGGCUAGAGUGCAGGAGAGGAAGGUAGAAUUCCCGGUGUAGCGGUGAAAUGCGUAGAGAUCGGGAGGAAUACCAGUGGCGAAGGCGGCCUUCUGGACUGACACUGACGCUGAGGUGCGAAAGCGUGGGUAGCAAACAGGAUUAGAUACCCUAGUAGUC